GACGAACGCUGGCGGCGUGCCUAAUACAUGCAAGUAGAACGCUGAAGAGAGGAGCUUGCUCUUCUUGGAUGAGUUGCGAACGGGUGAGUAACGCGUAGGUAACCUGCCUUGUAGCGGGGGAUAACUAUUGGAAACGAUAGCUAAUACCGCAUAACAAUGGAUGACACAUGUCAUUUAUUUGAAAGGGGCAAUUGCUCCACUACAAGAUGGACCUGCGUUGUAUUAGCUAGUAGGUGAGGUAAUGGCUCACCUAGGCGACGAUACAUAGCCGACCUGAGAGGGUGAUCGGCCACACUGGGACUGAGACACGGCCCAGACUCCUACAGGAGGCAGCAGUAGGGAAUCUUCGGCAAUGGGGGCAACCCUGACCGAGCAACGCCGCGUGAGUGAAGAAGGUUUUCGGAUCGUAAAGCUCUGUUGUAAGUCAAGAACGGGUGUGAGAGUGGAAAGUUCACACUGUGACGGUAGCUUACCAGAAAGGGACGGCUAACUACGUGCCAGCAGCCGCGGUAAUACGUAGGUCCCGAGCGUUGUCCGGAUUUAUUGGGCGUAAAGCGAGCGCAGGCGGUUUGAUAAGUCUGAAGUUAAAGGCUGUGGCUCAACCAUAGUUCGCUUUGGAAACUGUCAAACUUGAGUGCAGAAGGGGAGAGUGGAAUUCCAUGUGUAGCGGUGAAAUGCGUAGAUAUAUGGAGGAACACCGGUGGCGAAAGCGGCUCUCUGGUCUGUAACUGACGCUGAGGCUCGAAAGCGUGGGGAGCGAACAGGAUUAGAUACCCUGGUAGUCCACGCCGUAAACGAUGAGUGCUAGGUGUUGGAUCCUUUCCGGGAUUCAGUGCCGCAGCUAACGCAUUAAGCACUCCGCCUGGGGAGUACGACCGCAAGGUUGAAACUCAAAGGAAUUGACGGGGGCCCGCACAAGCGGUGGAGCAUGUGGUUUAAUUCGAAGCAACGCGAAGAACCUUACCAGGUCUUGACAUCCCUCUGACCACUCUAGAGAUAGAGUUUUCCUUCGGGACAGAGGUGACAGGUGGUGCAUGGUUGUCGUCAGCUCGUGUCGUGAGAUGUUGGGUUAAGUCCCGCAACGAGCGCAACCCCUAUUGUUAGUUGCCAUCAUUCAGUUGGGCACUCUAGCGAGACUGCCGGUAAUAAACCGGAGGAAGGUGGGGAUGACGUCAAAUCAUCAUGCCCCUUAUGACCUGGGCUACACACGUGCUACAAUGGCUGGUACAACGAGUCGCAAGCCGGUGACGGCAAGCUAAUCUCUUAAAGCCAGUCUCAGUUCGGAUUGUAGGCUGCAACUCGCCUACAUGAAGUCGGAAUCGCUAGUAAUCGCGGAUCAGCACGCCGCGGUGAAUACGUUCCCGGGCCU
rnacentral:rRNA from 1 species